GUAAUUUAUGCUAAACAUCUAACCUGGUCGGGAGCAGGUUAUGUUGGAGAUUAGAGAUCAACUGGUGUAAAAGUACCGUCUACUGACCAAUCAAUACUCGAUUGAUGACAGCGUCACCGUUCUUAGAAGAUCCGGAGGAGCUUGGUGCGCAGAGAGAGAGAGUGAGAGGGAGAGAGAGAGAGAGAU